rnacentral:ncRNA from 1 species
GCUGCUCUAACGGGGUGCCUGCGGUCCGUUUCCGACCGAUGGCUGAGAGGCUUCGAGCCAACCCGCGGAACCUGAUCCGGUUCAUACCGGCGGAGGGAUUAGAAGCGAUCGGACC